rnacentral:rRNA from 1 species
AGUGAACGCUGGCGGUAGACCUAACACAUGCAAGUCGAACGGCAGCACAGUAAGAGCUUGCUCUUGCGGGUGGCGAGUGGCGGACGGGUGAGGAAUACAUCGGAAUCUACUUUUUCGUGGGGGAUAACGUAGGGAAACUUACGCUAAUACCGCAUACGACCUACGGGUGAAAGCAGGGGAUCUUCGGACCUUGCGCGAUUGAAUGAGCCGAUGUCGGAUUAGCUAGUUGGCGGGGUAAAGGCCCACCAAGGCGACGAUCCGUAGCUGGUCUGAGAGGAUGAUCAGCCACACGGGAACUGAGACACGGUCCAGAGUCCUACGGGAGGCAGCAGUGGGGAAUAUUGGACAAUGGGCGCAAGCAUGAUCCAGCCAUACCGCGUGGGUGAAGAAGGCCUUCGGGUUGUAAAGCCCUUUUGUUGGGAAAGAAAAGCAGCAGGUUAAUACCCCGCUGUUCUGACGGUACCCAAAGAAUAAGCACCGGCUAACUUCGUG